rnacentral:rRNA from 1 species
CAAUAGCGUAUAUUAAAGCUGUUGCGGUUAAAAAGCUCGUAGUUGGAUUUCUGUCAAGGACAACUGGUCCGCCCUCCGGGUGAGCACAUAGUUUGGUCUUGACAUCUUGCUGGAAGCUGUUGCUGCACUUGGCUGUGUGGCGCAGUGUUCAGCACUUUCACUUUGAGGAAAUUGGAGUGUUUCAAGCAGGCACAUGCCUUUGGACACAGUAGCAUGGAAUAAUUAGAUUGGGCUUUUGCUCCAAUUUGUCGGUUUCUGGAGCUGAGGUGAGUAUUAAUGGGGAUUGUUGGGGGCAUCCGAAUUUAGCCGUCAGAGGUGAAAUUCUUGGAUCUGCUAAAGACGGACAACUGCGAAAGCGUUUGCCCAGGAUGCUUUCAUUGA